UACGAAGGGGGCUAGCGUUGUUCGGAAUCACUGGGCGUAAAGCGCACGUAGGCGGAUCUUUAAGUCAGGGGUGAAAUCCCGAGGCUCAACCUCGGAACUGCCUUUGAUACUGGGGAUCUCGAGUCCGGGAGAGGUGAGUGGAACUGCGAGUGUAGAGGUGAAAUUCGUAGAUAUUCGCAAGAACACCAGUGGCGAAGGCGGCUCACUGGCCUGGAACUGACGCUGAGGUGCGAAAGCGUGGGGAGCAAACAGG
rnacentral:rRNA from 1 species